rnacentral:rRNA from 1 species
CCGACACGGGUGAGUAACACGUAUCCAACCUGCCGUCUACUCUUGGACAGCCUUCUGAAAGGAAGAUUAAUACAAGAUGGCAUCAUGAGUUCACAUGUUCACAUGAUUAAAGGUAUUCCGGUAGACGAUGGGGAUGCGUUCCAUUAGAUAGUAGGCGGGGUAACGGCCCACCUAGUCUUCGAUGGAUAGGGGUUCUGAGAGGAAGGUCCCCCACAUUGGAACUGAGACACGGUCCAA